GAAGCACAGGGAGACCACGCAGGCUUCGUACACACAGGGCGGAGGCGGGAUUCGAGCCCCCGACGCUGAAAGUGCGAGGAAAACGUGCUAACCACUUAGCCCCACCCCCCUGCUGAUUAAUUAUGUGUCUAUCUAUCCAUCUAUUAAUCGUUCUAGCAGGAGAAAUGACCAGGGCCUGUUUUGCAGAUAGUGGCCUGCCUGAGAGAAUCCUGUGAAGGCUGCAAGGUUAAACAUUCCUCCGUCUUCUGAACAGCUCGUUACUGAAUGUCUCCAUACGUUUCAUUGACAGAGGUCUCACCUAAUGGACUUACAGCCCAGUGAGUUAUUUCAUUAUCAGGACAGCAGGACAGCUGCUGACAAAGCAGACACACUCAGCUGGAUGAUACCCAGAACCUCAUUGUUCAGAUGGGUUUGUUCAUGAAAGAUGGGCUUGUCUGGGCUUGCCUCUCCUGACAGAUCUUGUUGUCCAGGCUUCCGCAAUUGCAGCCACUACUGGAGAUCUUAAUCAAGGUUUCGGGUGGAUGGAAGAGACUGCCGUGACAAGUGUUUAAGAAACAUUUUUCCUUUCCCAGCCUAAUGUGGUGUGUUACAGCGAACGGUCUUCUGGCCAACCUGCAAUUAGAGUGCUACUUCAGGUCAUCGCAGUAAUUGAGAGAAACUUCACAUGAGAGCGUUGCAAUCUCACCAUGGACAAAAUGUCUCUUGACAUUUAAAGCCAACGGUUGAGGGUGAGCGGUGUCAUUUGCCUCAGCUACCAAUGAAACUUUUAUGUACACACACACACAUACACACCAAACGGUUUACGGAGGGUUCUCGGGAAUGUGUGGGUUUCACACAAAAACUUUGGUGACAAAUGCGAUCGGAACAGAGACAUUCUUGGGGAUUCAGCACACAUUUCCCCCUCGAUUUCUCUCUAAACAGAUUUGUUUUUGCAACUCCCUUGGGAGCGCAAUUCCUUUGGGGGAUUUAUAAUGUUCUUGUGUUUUCUUUGCUCAGUCAGAGUUGAUCCAAACCAUCAUAAAGUUUAUGAGAUUGCCACUUACCACAGUAGGAAGAUGGGAAAGUAACGUCUUCAGAAAACAAAAAGGAAAAAAAAAAAAGAAAGAAAAAAAAAAAGAAGACAAAUUCAACUCUGCCUCAAGCGUGAUGAACGAUGGAGUUGGAAUAUGAGCCUGGAAUAAAACACAGCUUAUAUACUUUGCCGAGCUGCUCAGAACAGGUGUUAUCCUGCCUAGCUCAUUAUAUCCGGGUGGUCUAAGGAUAUAAUGAUUCAGGAUGCUGGGUUCUCCUGUUUCCUGGUGGUGCCGUUCAGGGUGUAUUCCCAGCUCACCAGCAGUGUUCCCAGAACAGGCUCUGGAUCCACCAACACCCUGACUGGCAUAUGGUGGUCACUGAAGAUGAAUGCAUGAUGACUCAUCAGUCUAGUCUAGAUUUAGUUGAUGAAAAAACCACAUCAAUUUCCAUCAAGAAAAAGGAAACAUUUUAGUCAGUGAGAACGAACCGAUUUGGUGUUUUAUCAUCCUUGCAUUUCCCCAAUUUCUUUUUGCUAUUAUGGGCUUCCUAAAGUCUUUGUCCUUCUGCUGAAAUCAUACGGUUACAACCGUGUGUCCAAAACGCAGCAGCUCUGUUAUAGGGAACUGGAGGCAUUCAAUAACUCUAGUGAGCACGUUUAUUAUGUUGCAUACAGCUUAUAAAAGUCAAUUAAUUCAGUGACUUUGGUGGGGUGUCAUCUGAUAUGCUAUUUCUUGCUAGCAAAAUGGUGCCUCUGGUUGUUAAUAUUACAAUUUAGGAGUUUGACACCAUCUCCAACGAAAUUAACAAUGCACCACUGACAUGAAUGGGUCAGAAAAUAACCGUGUUAUGGCACACCCCACACCAGUGCUUUUUCUGUCACGUUCUAUGCUUCUAAUAUGCAAUGUGAUGUACACUGUUGAGGAAAAGAUGCCCAGAAGGAAGGGGAGGUGAAAGGUACAGGCUGGGAUAAGUCAGACCUAAUAGACUGAUGACAUUUCCAAUGAUUGUGUGCAGAUAAGAGGUCAUCCUCAUCAUCCGUCACUGUCUUCUAUGUCUUCAUUAAACAGAUUUUUCCUACAUUAGUGCCAGCUCAGCAAGUCCUCUCAUGAGCAAUGCUUAUUUUCUUUGAGUCCUACAGAGACCAUGUGGCUUCACACAUCCCAGGGUGUUGAA